CGUUGAUUACGUCCCUGCCCUUUGUACACACCGCCCGUCGCUACUACCGAUUGAAUGGCUCAGUGAGGCGUCCGGACUGGCCCAGAGAGGUGGGCAACUACCCCUCAGGGCCGGAAAGCUCUCCAAACUCGGUCAUUUAGAGGAAGUAAAAGUCGUAACAAGG
rnacentral:rRNA from 1 species